rnacentral:rRNA from 1 species
CAGCGCCACAAGUGGCAAUCGUUAUUAUUGGGCCUAAAGCGUCCGUAGCCGGUUUAGUAAGUCUUUUGUGAAAUUGUUGUGCUUAACACAACACUGUGCAAAAGAUACUGCUAGACUUGGAACUGGGAGGAGUUAGGGGUAUUCCAAGGGGAGCGGUAAAAUGCUAUAAUCCUUGGAGGACCACCGGUGGCGAAAGCGCCUAACUAGAACAGAUUCGACGGUGAGGGACGAAAGCCAGGGGAGUAAACCGGAUUAGAUACCCGAGUAGUCC